GAUGAACGCUGGCGGCGUGCCUAAUACAUGCAAGUCGAACGAAACUUCUUUAUCACCGAGUGCUUGCACUCACCGAUAAAGAGUUGAGUGGCGAACGGGUGAGUAACACGUGGGCAACCUGCCCAAAAGAGGGGGAUAACACUUGGAAACAGGUGCUAAUACCGCAUAACCAUAGUUACCGCAUGGUAACUAUGUAAAAGGUGGCUAUACUACCGCUUUUGGAUGGGCCCGCGGCGCAUUAGCUAGUUGGUAGGGUAAAGGCUUACCAAGGCAAUGAUGCGUUAGCCAAAUGAGAGGUUGAGUCGGCCACAUUGGGACUAGGAAAGGGCCCAAACCCCUACGGGGGGAAGCGGUGGGAAAUCUUCCACAAUGGGCAAAAGCCUGAUGGAGCAACGCCGGGUGGGGGAAGAGGGUUUUCGAUUCGAAAAACCCUUUUGUUGGGAAAAAAAGUGCGUGGGUGUAACUGUUCAGGUUUGGACGGUAUCAAACCAAAAAGCCCCUGCUAACUAGUG
rnacentral:rRNA from 1 species